rnacentral:snoRNA from 1 species
UAACACCUUCUACAGUAGGAUCAUUUCUAUAGGAAUCGUCACUCUUUGACUCUUCAAAAGAGCCACUGAAUCCAACUUGGUUGAUGAGUGACAAAACCUUUGUACCCAAGAGUGAGAAUUUAAAAUUACAUUUUUUGAAUAGCUUGGUCCGUAAUCCUUAGCGGUUCGGCCAUCUAACUUAUUUCUUAAUUGAAAUUUUUGCUUUGCCGUUUGCAUGAAUGAUCUUUUCCACUUGUGGAUUAGUGAUUUCUAUCUUUAAAUGGCGCGAUGAUCUUGACCCUUUCUAUGUACUCUUUAAUUAGAGGGAUGGAUAUUUUGGGUGGGUACAAAUGGCAGUCUGACAAGU